CGAUUAGAGAGUUUGAUCUUGGCUCAGGGUGAACGCUGGCGGCGCGCUUAAUGCAUGCAAGUCGAGCGAACCUCUUGGCUUCGGCCAGGAAGGGAAGCGGCAGACGGCUGAGUAACGCGUGAGUAACCUGCCCUUUGGUGGGGUAUAGCCUCGGGAAACUGAGGGUAAUCCCGCAUAAGAUCCUUCUCCCCUGGGGGAAGGAUGAAAGCCUUCGGGCGCCAAAGGAGGGGCUCGCGUCCUAUCAGGUAGUUGGUGAGGUAACGGCUCACCAAGCCGAUGACGGGUAGCUGGUCUGAGAGGACGACCAGCCAGAGGGGGACUGAGACACGGCCCCCACUCCUACGGGAGGCAGCAGCA
rnacentral:rRNA from 1 species